rnacentral:lncRNA from 1 species
AGGCCAUUUGUGAGUCCAGCACCUGAUCUAUCUGCCUUUCUCACUUAACCUGGUUGUCUUGUACCAUCUGCAGUUUCAGAGGCUUUCUUCUUGAGGUGUCACAGCAAUGCAAAGGUUAAGAUUCCUCCCUAGUCAGAGAGGCACUAGAAAUACUCGAGAGCUGUCAACAAUUUCAAUUGGAAACUUCCUUUCACAGUGGAGGACCCUGCGUGUCAAAGCAAGCUGUUCAGCAGCUUGAAUUCAGCCUACUUGAUCCAGCCUGUUUACCUCUUAGGAUUGCUUGCAGGGUGGGGCUUUGCUCUGCACUUAAUGCUGGCCAAUCCUUAAAAUGUUGCCUGCUCUUGUAGUGCAUGAGCAUGGUUCUUUUGGUGGCUGCACUGAAGGCAGCACAAAAAAUGGUAAAAUUAAAUGUGAUUCUGUCAAAUGAAGAUGCACCAUUUCUCCACAAGGCUUAUUAUGAUUUCCAAAAAUGCAAGAGAAGGGGUUAUUAAUAUUCUUCCUAGAGGCUUUGGAUGUGCUCCAGUAUUUGAUGAGAAAUCUGCACCUCGGGAAGAGCAUAUGAGAAUUUAAAAACCAGUACAAAACACAGCAGAGAUAAACUGGUUGACAACUAAAUGUUGUCCAUUACUGCCCUUGUUAAAUCAGUGUCAUACAUGUACAACAGCUAAUGAUGGAUUAAAGGCCUGUAAAUUCUUUUCCCCUCUCUUGAGUCUAUCCUUGUACUGAAUCCAUUUUUAUACUCAUUAUGAAACCACAUUUUGUGGUUGAGCAGCUGAAUUCAAAAUGCUCCAGUCUGCAACAGGUGUAUGGCAGAAACUAAUAACCCUGGCCACUGCUAAUAAAAUAUAGUUGUAAAAUAAUUUGCUUUUCA